rnacentral:tRNA from 2 species
AGGUUUUAAUCCUUUUCUUUUUA